UUGCGCAAGUGCUAUUUAUCUGAGCAAUCUUCGCAAUCCUCUGCCGCCCGCUGCCCGGUAUCUUUAUCCACAGAAUCACUGCCCGGACAUCAGUCCACGGCGACGCGCUCUAGGCGAGCGGUCGCGGCCCAGCCAUCCAACAGGAUCCGCCAGGCCCCCGGGCUACACACCGUCCAGAAGACGGCGUGAGGUGAGCCGGCGCCACAAGUGCCGAGCACGGACGACAAUUCCCAAAGGGAGGCCCAACGGCCUCCCU
rnacentral:sRNA from 3 species